rnacentral:rRNA from 1 species
GCAAGACAAGGCGGAGGAAGGCGGGGAAGACGGCAAAUCAACAAGCCCCAAAGACCUGGGCUACACACGUAUAACAAUGGUAGUUAAUAUGACGGUAGCGAGUCGCGAGAUGGAGCAAACCCGAGAAACACUCCUCAGUUCGGAUCUGUAGGCUGCAAUUCGCCUACGUGAAGUUUGGAAUCUGCUAGUAAUCGCAGGUCAGUUUACUGCGGUGAAUAUGUUCCCGGUCCUUAUAGUACAUCUUCGUCCUUUUCACAUCUCAUCUGAAAGUUCGGAAGUGCCCAAAGCCGGUGGGGUAACUUCGGGAGCCAGUCCGUUUAAGGAAUAUGUAGUUGAUUGGGGUGAAGUCGUAAUAAGGUAACCAAUCACUAGUGAAUUCGGGCCGCAUGAGUACGACCAAUAUAGGGAGAGAUCCACAGCG